UAUCUCUGUAGAGUCUGCAUAUCAAUAAGCGGAGGAAAAGAAACUAACAAGGAUUCCCCUAGUAACGGCGAGUGAAGCGGGAAGAGCUCAAAUUUGAAAUCUUCAAGGUUUGACCUUGACGAAUUGUAGUUUAAAGAAGUGUUUUCGGUUAGAGGAGUAGUAAAAGUUCUUCGGAAUAGGACAUCAUAGAGGGUGAGAAUCCCGUAUUUGACUAUUCUUUCUAGCUUUGUGAUACACCUUCAAAGAGUCGGAUUGUUUGGGAAUGCAGUCCAAAAUGGGUGGUAAAUUUCAUCUAAAGCUAAAUAUUGGCGAGAGACCGAUAGCGAACAAGUACCGUGAGGGAAAGAUGAAAAGAACUUUGAAAAGAGAGUUAAACAGUACGUGAAAUUGUCAAAAGGGAAGCGUUCGACACCAGUGUUGUUUUUCCGAAAAUCAAUUAAAAAUUGAUUCAUGCCAGGUUGUAUUGACCUUAUCAGCUUGCAAUUUGGUCUUGGGUCUCUUUUUGAUGCACUUUUCGGUUAACAAGUCAACAUCAAUUUCCUUUGCUGUAAAAAGGUAAGAGGAAGGUGGCUUCAAUUUCGGUUGAAGUGUUUAUAGCCUUUUAUCUCUGCAGUCGGGGAGAUUGAGGUCUGCAGCGUAGAUCCUUCGGGGCUAGAUACAUUUAUGCUAAGUUAUAGCUUUUCAUAGACAACUUGUUGACUAUGUUUAGUCAUGUAGCUUACUCGUAAGUGCUAUUUUACCUACGCUUAGGAUGUUGAGCGCAUGUCUCUCUCU
rnacentral:rRNA from 1 species